UAAAAACUGCAAGCCGACUAGUUAAACUAUUCUUUAUAUCGGGUUUCCUUUGCAAAUUCAUGCAUUCUCAUCUGGUAGACCGCUGAUCAGUUGUCAUCUGAAACCAGACUCGUGUUCAAGUACUUGACCUUUCAUUGAAAUUAAUCUUACAAAUCGGCUUUUCUCCCAGAAACCUCUUGGCAGAAGUAACUUCCAAGGAUGAACCAAGACAAUUAUACAGCAUCUGAGAUUAGUAUACAGUAAGGGUAGAGUUUAUUAUCUGUGGUUUGUCUCCUGUACAAACAGGUAUGUGUAUCUAAUAAAGACGGCUGUCAAGAAAA